AAUCAACGUCGCUGGGCAAUUCAAAGUCAGUCACAGUCACAGUCAAGUAUGAACCCACAGGAGGAUUCUUCUUUCGGCACUUGUUUAGUGGGGCGGCGGCGGAGCAACCACCCUUGGUGCGGCGAUGCGGCAGAGCCUGAUCCCAACAAGCCACGCGAUAUAUUGGACUCCCAAGUCUUCGACUCACCAAACUGAAAGCUAUAUUUGCCUACUCUCAUACUUAAAAAGCAAGCACUAAAGUCCGACUUGGUUUAGUUCUAUGAUACGAGGAUGAUGCUGAUAAUUUUCAUGUAGUACUAUUUGGUUUGAAUCAAUGAACAAUAGACACACGUUAAUACCAUGAAGAGAUUUGACAGGACAUCAAUGGAAGAAGCAUGUGCCCUACCUUCUUUCUUCUUUACUUUUUUCAUCUUAAUAAUCUCCAACAACGCAAUAGACACCACCAUUACUAAAACCCACUUCGUUACAGAUGGUAACACCAUAGUUUCAUCUUCCGGAACUUUCGAAUUGGGGUUCUUCACUCCCCGCGCCGAUUCCAAGAACCGGUACGUGGGAAUAUGGUACAAGAAAAUAUCAACCGGGACUGUGGUUUGGGUUGCCAACAGAGAAACCCCAAUCCCUGAUAAAUCUGGUGUCUUGAAGAUCAUCGACCCCGGAAUUCUCGUCCUUGUCAAUGGAUUCAAUCAAACCGUGUGGUUUACAAAUUCCUCAAUCUCCGCGCAGAACCCAGUAGCCCGGCUUCUUGAUUCAGGCAAUCUUGUUGUGAAUGAUGAAAAAAACCCAGAAACAGAGCACCUCCUCCUCUGGCAGAGUUUUGAUUAUCCGGGUGAUACUUUUUUACCAGGUAUGAAGCUUGGGAAGAACUUUGUGACUGGUAAAGAAUGGUACCUCUCGUCUUGGAAGAGCAAGGUUGAUCCAUCUCAAGGCGGGUACACAUACCGGUUGGAUCUUCGCCGGUAUCCGCAACUUGUUUUGAGCAAGGGUUCCACCGAGCAGUUUCGUUCUGGACCCUGGAAUGGUGUCCGGUUCAGCGGUCCACACUUGAGACCUAAUCCAUUUUACAAAUAUGGAGUUGUUUUUAAAAAUGAUGAGGUGUACUAUACUUAUGAGCUCAUUAAUAGCUCUGUUGUUUCGAGAUUUGUCUUGAAUCCGAAUGGAAUUGGAGAGCGCUCGACAUGGAUUGAUCGAACGCACGGUUGGAUGCUUUACCUGACUGUGCCACAAGAUACUUGUGACAGUUAUAAAUUGUGCGGUCCAUACGGUGUUUGUAAUGUUGACAAAUCCCCUGUUUGUGGUUGUUUGAGUGAUAAAUUUGUGCCCAAAGACCCCAAAAAUUGGGAUAUGACAGAUUGGUCGAGCGGGUGUGUUCGGAUGACACCAUUGGAUUGCCACAAUGAUGGGUUUGUCAAGUUUUCUGGAAUUAAAAUGCCAGACACACGACAGUCCUGGUAUAACACUACCAUGACACUUGAGGAAUGCAGAGAGGUAUGCUUGAAAAAUUGCUCUUGCACGGCUUAUACAAAUUUAGAUGUGAGAGGCAGUGGAAGUGGCUGCUUGCUUUGGUUUCAUGACCUGAUUGACUUGAGAGUGUUCACUGACAAUGGGCUAAAUAUUUACAUAAGGAUGGCUUCCUCCGAUUUAGAUUCAACAGACCAACAAGUUGUCUAUCAUAGCAAGAAAAGAACAAUAAUCAUUGUCAGCUUAGCGCUAUUCUCUGGCAUGCUACUGUUUGCUCUGAGCCUUGCCUUUUAUGUCUGGCAAAAGAAGAAAAAAUUGCACCUCAAGAAAGAAGAACGUAUGGACCACAACUCUGGGCAACUUUAUCCUAACAAAAACCAGAAGGAAGAUCUAGAGUUGCCAUUCUUUGACUUAGCUACAAUAGUUGAUUCUACAAAUAACUUUUCAAUCUACAAUAAGAUUGGAGAGGGUGGAUUUGGACCUGUUUACAAGGGUAUUUUGGGAGGUGGACAAGAAAUAGCUGUUAAGCGGCUUUCAGAGUAUUCGACACAAGGGCCUAAUGAGUUCAAGAAUGAAGUUAUUUGUAUUGCCAAACUUCAGCACCGAAAUCUCGUGAAGCUUUUAGGAUGUUGUAUUCAAGGAGAAGAAAAAAUGUUGAUCUACGAAUACAUGCCCAACAAAAGUCUGGACUACUUUAUUUUUGAUCAAACUCAAAGAACGUUAUUGGAUUGGCCCAAGCGCUUCCAAAUUAUUAAUGGGAUUGCCCGGGGGCUUCUUUAUCUUCAUCAAGAUUCUAGACUAAGAAUUAUUCAUAGAGAUCUCAAAGCAAGCAAUAUUUUGCUAGAUAUUGGCAUGAAUCCAAAAAUAUCAGACUUCGGAAUGGCUAGGAGUUUUGGAGGAAAUGAGAUGGCAGGAAAUACAAAAAGAGUGGUUGGAACAUAUGGCUACAUGUCUCCAGAAUACGCAUUGGAUGGGCUAUUUUCAGUUAAGUCCGAUGCAUUUAGCUUUGGUGUGUUGGUGUUGGAGAUAAUGAGUGGGAAGAGAAACAGAGGUUUCUAUCAUCCAGAUCAUCACCUUAACCUCCUUGGUCAUGCAUGGAUACUCUAUAAAGAAGACAGGUCAAUGGAAUUGAUCGAUGAAUCUCUGAGGGACUCAUGUGACCUAUUUGAAGUGUUGCGAUCAAUACAUGUGGGUCUUUUAUGUGUACAACAACAUCCAGAGGAUAGGCCAAGCAUGUCAACUGUGGUUUUGAUGUUAGGUAGUGAGGGUGUAUUGCCUCGGCCCAAACAGCCUGGCUUUUUCACUGAAAGGAAUUUACUUGAAGCUGAUUGUUCAUCGAGCAAGGGUACAAUAAAUUCAGUCAAUGAAAUGACCAUUAGCAUGUUACAUGCUCGAUAGAAACAAAUGGUUUUGAAAUCACCAUUUGGGUCUUUCACAUGUUCUUGCUAACGUGGUUGGUGAGUGCAACAUUUGUAUUGAAGAGGAGAUUCAAAAAGCAUCGCCUAUCAGACAACGCUCACUGGUUUGCCUCCUUCAUACAUGGUUUGUGAACAAUAAGUCUAGCGACACAAACUGACUAUAGAAUCUACUACAGAAAACACAAGUGGAACAACUUGAGUGAAAUAAUCUCAUCAAUGGAUGGUCUCACCAUCUUGGUUGUAUUGGCCCUGCUGGUUAUUAGGACCAUAUCAAACAGGGCAAGAGCUACAUGUGGACCAUCACUAUCUAUCCCUAGGAGCCAUUUGUGCGUGUACAUGUAGGAUUCUCUGUUGGGUAAUACAUUCCUGCCACUGUUCCUUGAUUUUAGUCGAACAUUGCAAUAGGUUCGACGAUCAAUGACAUCAAAUGAUCUCUGGUCACCCCAGCCGACGUACCAGCACCAUCACCAUGUUGGUAGAUGCACUGGGCAGUCCUUGCCAUGUUUAGUGACAAAGUAGUUAAUAUUAUGGAUUGAGGGUUUGAAUUCUUUGCAAUUGUCUCAUUAAUUUUUCUCCAUGAAAAGCUUAUAACGCCUUUAAUAUGAUCUCGUGCUUGUUCUUCUGUCACACC